rnacentral:rRNA from 1 species
AACGAACGCUGGCGGCGUGCCUAACACAUGCAAGUCGAACGAGAAAGUACUUCGGUAUGAGUAAAGUGGCGCACGGGUCCGUAACACGUGAAUAAUCUCCCCUCAGGCGAAAAAUAACCCUUCGAAAGAAGAGCUAAUAUUUCAUAAGACCACAGUUUCUUCGGGAACAGAGGUAAAAGUUGGCCUCUAUUUAUAAGCUAACACCAGAGGAUGAGUUCGCGCACCAUUAGCUAGUUGGUGAGGUAAUGGCUCACCAAGGCCGAGAUGGUUAGCUGAUCUGAGAGGAUGAUCAGCGACACUGGAACUGAAACACGGUCCAGACUCCUACGGGAGGCAGCAGUGGGGAAUAUUGGACAAUGGGGGAAACCCUGAUCCAGCAACGCCGCGUGAGCGAUGAAGG